CCUACGGGUGGCAGCAGUGGGGAAUAUUGCACAAUGGGGGAAACCCUGAUGCAGCGACGCCGCGUGAGUGAAGAAGUAUUUCGGGAUGUAAAGUCCUUUCAGUAGGGACGAUACUAGACGGUUCUUGACUAAGAAGACCCGGCUAAAUACGUGCCAGCAGCCGCGUGAAAACGUAGGGGGCAAGCUUUAUCCGGAAUCAUUGGCUGGAAAGGGGGCGUAGCCGGCUGUGCAAGCCUGAAGUGAAAGGCGUGGGUCCAACCCCUGGACUGCUUUGGAAACUGUACGGCUAGAGUAUAGGAGAGGUAGGUGGAAUUCCUGGUGUAGCGGUGAAAUGCGUAGAGAUUAAGAGGAACACCAGUGGCGAAGGCGGCCUGCUGGACUAUAACUGACGUUGAGGCGCGAAAGCGUGGGGAGCAAACAGGAUUAGAUACCCGAGUAGUC
rnacentral:rRNA from 1 species